rnacentral:rRNA from 1 species
GUGGGGAAUAUUGGACAAUGGGCGCAAGCCUGAUCCAGCCAUGCCGCGUGUGUGAAGAAGGCCUUCGGGUUGUAAAGCACUUUUGUCCGGGAAGAAAUCUUCCAGGUUAAUACCCUGGGAGGCUGACGGUACCGGAAGAAUAAGCACCGGCUAACUUCGUGCCAGCAGCCGCGGUAAUACGAAGGGUGCAAGCGUUACGCGGAAUUACUGGGCGUAAAGCGUGCGUAGGUGGUUCGUUAAGUCUGCCGUGAAAGCCCCGGGCUCAACCUGGGAAUGGCGGUGGAUACUGGCGGGCUAGAGUGCGGUAGAGGAUGGCGGAAUUCCCGGUGUAGCGGUGAAAUGCGUAGAGAUCGGGAGGAACAUCCGUGGCGAAGGCGGCCAUCUGGACCAGCACUGACACUGAGGCACGAAAGCGUGGGGAGCAAACAGGAUUAGAAACCCCUGUAGUCC